CCUACGGGUGGCUGCAGUGGGGAAUAUUGGACAAUGGGCGAAAGCCUGAUCCAGCCAUGCCGCGUGUGUGAAGAAGGCCCUAGGGUUGUAAAGCACUUUCAGUGGGGAGAAAAGUGAUUCACCUAAUACGUGAGUUAAUUGAUGUUACCCACAGAAGAAGCACCGGCUAACUCCGUGCCAGCAGCCGCGGUAAUACGGAGGGUGCAAGCGUUAAUCGGAAUUACUGGGCGUAAAGCGCACGUAGGUGGUUUGUUAAGCUAGCCGUGAAAUCCCCG
rnacentral:rRNA from 1 species